ACUUUUGGCAUACUGUCAUACAGAGAAGCAACUGUCGGCGUUUUUAAACGGCGAACUGUUCUUUAAUCGUGUAAUUAAACCAGGUAGAAGAACUUAAGGCAAGGAUCCGUCAGGAUGACACUUAAAAUUCAUGUAGUCUACUGCGGUGCAUGAGGAUACGCUCCCAAGUUUCGCAAAAUUAAAGCGGAACUUGAGAAAGAAUUUCCCAAUGAGUUAGAAAUAACAGGGGAAGGCACUCCUGGCACAACAGGUUGGCUGGAGGUCCAGGUGGUAGGGGGUGAACUUCUCCAUUCCAAAAAGAAUGGGGAUGGAUAUGUUGACACAGAUGCCAAGAUGGAGAAGAUCAAGGCUGGUGUCAGGAAAGCCUUAGGAAGAUAGAGACACUAGAGGCAAGGCAGAGGUGGUGAUGAAAGAAUGUUGGAGAAAUAAUGAAGAAUCAAUUAUGAAGGGUCAGAACAAAAAUGACAAAACUUGUCAAGUUGUGACCUGGAACCACUCAGGAGGAACCAUUGUUUCUGCAUCAUUGACCAUCGUCAUUUCUGAAAUAUCAGACCAUUCAAAUUCUGUAACUUUAAUUGAACUGAAGAGAUGAGAAUCUAUUUUUGUUUAACUUUAUUUCUAUAUCCUAUUACUCUGUGUAACUUUAUUCCCUUUGUCAGGUUUUAGAUCUCAGGAUAUUCAAUUCAAUUUUGAUUAUACAUAUACCACAUGGUAUAAUCCAUGUACUUUGCAAAUGCAAUGGUAGUUAAUUCUUGCAUGCUAAUUUAUUCCUCACUUUUAUUUUUUUGCCUUGUAAUUUUUGGGUAUGAACAAGAAUCUCCUUUC
rnacentral:misc_RNA from 1 species